GGACACAAGUUGCAGUGCAGGCCGCGACUUUUACUUUGUAUAAGGGGUGCAGAAAAAGGAAAACCAGGAGCUGAAGUUUCUGCUGGACACAUCGGAGAACACAAUCAGUGGAGCCAGGAUUCUAAACACAUUGCGGAGUGUUGAGUAUGCCGGAAGGGGGCGGCACUGGAGGAAGAUGAGCGAGCGAGCGGGUUCGCACGAGCAAUAGAAAAUAAACCGUUCUCCAGUAGAAUACGGUCGGGUCAGCCUCCUCUAUCCUUAACAAUUGGUAC